AUUUUCCUUCCUGACAGGGAUAGUUGAAAUCGAGAUACGGAAGAAAACACAGAUUUUAGAAAGUCUUUUUUUUUUGCUUCGAUUAGUUUCAUGGGGAGUUUCCAGUGAGGACCAGGAAUGAGUCCUCCAGGGCACGUACCCGAGACAGGCAUUGAGUCAGGGGAGCUAAGUUCAUCACGGAGGUGAGAGGCCAAAGCCCUGGUACUCAGGCACUGAAUACCGCCUCUGUUUCCUCCCCAUAUACCACUGGGUAUGUCGGCCAAGCACGUCGGAAACGCCGAGUUCCCGGCAGAGCGCCUCAGGCUGCAGCGUGAGUCACAGGGAGGCGCUCUCCGCGGGCAGCGGGAAACGUGCGCCACGGGCCGUUCCUAAACAACCCGCCUAGUUACCAACGCCUUCCAGCUGCAGGUGGCGGUCGGCCCUCAGACUCCGGGGGCUCCGCACGGUGUCGCCCUCAACCAGAGAUGAGGAGGAAGCCAGGUUUGGGGGCACGGGAGGUCACCCGCCUGGAAAAGCACCAAGGGGCCCGGGAGCUCCGCGCCGCGCCCCUCACUCGAGACCGGGCACUCGGUGCUGAGAAUGUGAAGCACCUGACUUGGGCUUUGCAGGAUGACAUCCCAUAGAAUCCCAUGGCAACGAGCUCUUCAUGGCAAGGACUCAGCUGGCUCUUACUCUCUCUGUGUGGAACAGGCAGGCAGCUGUGAGUCAUCAAACACACAGUGGGGUCAUUUGGAAAUGCUCUUCACUGGGAUGAGAAAUGCACGCAGAGUUACAGAAAGGCAGAGGUGGAGAGAGAAAGAGGACUUCCAUCUGCUGGUUCACUUUCCAAAUGGCUGCAACAGUUGGAGCUGGGCAGAUCUGAAGCCAGGAGCCAGGAGCUUCUUCUGGGUCUUCCACACAGGCACAAGGACCCAAGGAUCUGGGCCAUCUUCUACUGCUUUCACAGGCCAUAGCAGAGAGCUGGAUCUGAAGUGGAGCAGCCGGCACUAGAACUGGUGCCCAUAUGCAAUGCUGGUCUUACCUGCUACAUCACAGCACUGGCCUCAAGUUGACUGCAACGGCCUGGUCUCAGGCAGGAAUGAGGCCAGGAGUCAGGAACUCAAUUCAGGUCUCCCACAGAGGUGGCUGGAGCCCAGUUGCACGAGGUAUCACCAUUGCCUCCCAGUGUCUGCAUUAGCAGGAAGCUGGAGUCAGGUGCCAGAGCCAGAGCCAGACAUCAAACACAGGCCUCCUGAGGGGAUAGCACUUGAAUUCUCAGACUGAGGAGAAGAGAAAUAGACAAGACUGAAGCUGGAGGAGCAGCUGCUGGUCCACCCGCUGCCAAGGCUUGGCAGCAGUCUCCUGAGGAAGCAGUACGCACCUGGUUCACACAGGACCAGAACAGCUGGUCCAGCUUUUGACUGGCAGAGCAUGGCUUCCUUCAUCACCAAUGUGACUGGGCCUGUGAUCUUGCUACAGCCUGCUGAAACCGAGAGGGACGCAGUGAAAGCCGUACACCUCAGUGGAGCAGGUGCAAGUCACAUUUCACUAAUGAACAAUGGGCACUUUGCACACAGGAGGCUUUGAUCUGAACGCUAAAAAGCCCUUCUGUUGGACAGACUGUUGGCUGAGGCAGCAGCAGUGAGAUGUAUUAGGAAAGAUCCUUUUUCCAAGAAAGUUGGGCAAGAGCUUUUGGUCAAAUAAUACUUGCAGAGUGCCUUAACUUCUAUGCCUAACACCUGCCCGUAUCUGCAUUUCAAGCACGGGGUACUUCUGUCAACUCAACUUCCUUCCCCUACAACCUGCUCCCAGAGGAUAAUCUGCAUAUAAAACACAUUUAAGCUGGAAACAGUAGAAGUAACAUGAAGCCCAGGAAGCUUUGAUUUAUUUGGCUUCAUUUUCUAGAAGAAACCUCUUCAUGAAAUGGGCAUCCUCAGAGAUUUGUGACUUAGAUCCCCUAUGAAGAAAAUUGAAUCCAACUCCUUGGCACCUAUCGUAAAUCAAACACUAUGAGGCUUUCGAUACUGAAGGAGAAAAUCAUCACUUCUCUUACCAAGUGUAUCAAGUAGUGGAAAAAUAGGAUGACUGAAAUGCAAGUACAAUACAUCAGUAUAAUCAACAGUUGGAGAGAGCAGGGCUCUGUGCACUGGACGGCCUGGGCAGAAAUAAUUCAUGGUCUCAAGCUGAUACUUAGCAGCAAAACUCACGAUUGACUGCAGACAUAAGUGCCUGUGUUCUUUUGUGAUUUCUCGUUUUCAUUUCUUACAUAUGCUCAAAUGCUCAGAGUUCUCUAUCUGAAAACAACUCACUUAAAUGCUAAGAAAAAAUGAUCUAUUGUUUCUCUACUUAAUGCAUUACUUAAUGAAGCGACUUGGAAAUAAAAUUUAUACGAGGAAAUGAGUUCCUGGGAGCAUCCUUCUCCCUAUGUCAUUUCUUUUUCUAUUCCAGAUUUUCCUCUCCCUCCCUUGGGUUUAAUAAUUUAUUUUAGCAUUUUUUUUUGACUGGAGGACAUUUUUCAGUCAGAUGUUGAGGCAGAAGAUCACAAAAGCAUCAUACGUUAUGUAUUCAAAAUACAUUAAUAUAAGGCUGAAAUGCUAACCCAUACAAUAUAAUAAUUAUAGUUGUAUCUGCAUUGAAAUUAUACACAUGGCUUUGUAAUCAUGCUCAUUAAUUUAGAUCCAAAUGAAGCAAAAUUAUUCUGCAUGGCUGCUGAGUUAAUUUAUGUGAUAUAAGUAAAGAAAAGUUAAAUAAAGUGUGAUGGAAAAAUGGGAUUGCUACCAGGCAAUUAGAUCCUGCAAAAGAGGCUCACUCAUCUCCUGAGGCUUCCUGGCCAUACUUUUCUGAAAAAAUUAUUCAUGUUAUGGCAAAAAUUUGUCCUUAUUAAGACGGUCUCUUAGAAUGUCUUAAUUGAACUUCUAAAAUAUCUUCUUCACUGCUGAAUUUUUGUGGGGAGCAAUAAUUCAGCAAUGUGAUAGAUUAUUUUGCUUGGAAUUAGUCAAGCAUCCAGGUAAAAGAAUGCAACAAUUUCUCUUAUGACAUGAAUCUAAGUUUCUGGCAGAAUGGGAAAAAUUCUGUAUUAUAGUCAGUGGUAUUUUUAGGGGCUUAUACAUCUUACAAGUAUAGUACAUGUUGUACUUCAUUUCAAUUAUAGAAAGAGGUGGGCUUUUUUUAAAUUAAGAAGGUAAAACAUGUUACCUUGAUUUUCUAGUUGUGUCACAUGUAUGUAUUAUAUGUUUUAGGUCAUAGUCCACUGUUUUCUACCUUUCUCCAGUCCAUUUCAAGGUAUUUGAGACUGGCUAUUAGUUUCAAUUUUGUGAUCAGUAGGAUUGUAGUGUAUGUUACCAGACAGAGGAGUGAUAUAUAUAUAUAUAUAUAUAUAUAUAUAUAUGACCGAUUUUGAUUCUAAAUGCCAUUUGAAGACAGGUAGCCAGAAAACCUCUGUUCCUCAUUUAAACUUUCAUUGCUGUGAGAAAAAUAGAUUCAACUCAAUUAGAAAAACUCACUGACCUGCAUCUUGGGGAUGUGAAGAUAAAUAAGACAUGGCCUCAAACUUCCUGGCUGCUUGAAUGUAGCAGACUAAAAGAUAAUUUAAAAGAAGACAUGCUAAAAAGCUGAAAAACUAACAGAAGUAUGCAGAAGAUUCCAAGUACAGAGGAGAAAUCUGGAGAGAAAUGGUUCAAAUCAAAGAGGGGUUGAAGUGAGGGCAAACUCUAUGAAUAAAGUGACCUUAGAUAUUGAUCUUGAAGGAAGGCAAGGGCUCUGAAAGGCAGAGGGGACAAAGAGAGGGGAUGGAGGGGUAGUAAUGAGACAAAGUCAUGCAAAGGGCAGGAGUGUGAUAUACUACAGGCAAUCAUGAGGGUUAGUUUGGGAAUCUAGAGAAGUAUAAUAGGAUAACAUUGUAGGGACUUAAAAAAUCAUUUUAUUAAAAAAGC